CUGAAAAUCUGCUCUAUAAUUGAAGAGAAAUCUACCAAAAGAGGGGAAAAAAACCUUAACAGUGGCUAUUAAUUACUCCACUCACAAGCACAAUCAAAAUGAAUCAAAUGGGUUCAAGAUCUACAAAUUCAAACCCUUUCACCCCGGCGCCAUAAGGAGAGACUUGUGGGUCUCUUUCUCUUACUCUUACACAUCUGAGUCUUUUUUUGUUUCCCCACUUCAAGAAUAAAUCGGCUUCUGGUAAUUUACAUAACCUUUGAUUCCUCUCACCUUUCUCCAUUUCUACCCUUAGAUUUAACAAAAAGAUGAAAACUUUAGGAACCCAAUUGGGAGCAAAAAAGAUAAGUUUAAUUUAGAUGAAAUAUUCACCUGUAACUUUAAGAUCUG
rnacentral:lncRNA from 1 species